CCUACGGGAGGCAGCAGUGGGGAAUAUUGGGCAAUGGAGGCAACUCUGACCCAGCAACGCCGCGUGCAUGAUGAAGGUCUUCGGAUUGUAAAGUUCUUUUCUAAGGGAAGAAGAAAGUGACGGUACCUUAGGAAUAAGCCUCGGCUAACUACGUGCCAGCAGCCGCGGUAAUACGUAGGAGGCAAUCGUUAUCCGGAAUGACUGGGCGUAAAGGGUGCGUAGGUGGUUUGACAAGUUGGUAGCGUAACUCCGGGGCUCAACUUCGGAACUGCUACCAAAACUGGUGGACACGAGUGCAGGAGGGGAAACUGGAAUUUCUAGUGUAGCGGUGGAAUGCGUAGAUAUUAGGAAGAACACCGGUGGCGAAGGCGAGUUGCUGGACUGUAACUGACGCUGAGGCACGAAAGCGUGGGGAGCAAACAGGAUUAGAUACCCCUGUAGUC
rnacentral:rRNA from 1 species